UACGUAGGGGGCAAGCGUUGUCCGGAAUCAUUGGGCGUAAAGAGCGUGUAGGCGGCCCGAUAAGUCCGCUGUGAAAGUCCAGGGCUCAACCCUGGAAUGCCGGUGGAUACUGUCGGGCUCGAAUCCGGAAGAGGUGAGUGGAAUUCCUGGUGUAGCGGUGAAAUGCGCAGAUAUCAGGAGGAACACCGGUGGCGAAGGCGGGUCUCUGGGCCGUAACUGACGCUGAGGAGCGAAAGCAUGGGGAGCGAACAGG
rnacentral:rRNA from 1 species